rnacentral:lncRNA from 12 species
CUGUGAGAACAUUCACUCCGGAUGAGGCAAAUAGAUUCUGUGUGCGUUCCUGAAUGCUUGGUUAUUCAUGAAGCCACCGGCAGUCUGCCUCUCUGCCCGCCCCGGACCUGGCAGGUGUCACGUACCACCCUCCUCCUGGCCCUGACUCAGCUCCUCCAUGCCCAACAUUGUGGUCCACGGUGCCCUUGGAAUCUCGGGGUGAGACCUGGCAGCGAACCCCGUGUGCUCUUACCGCAGCGGGGCUCCUCCGACCGUCGGUACAAGGGGCUUGUGUUUCUGAGAAGGGAUGGGCCUGUGACCCCGAUAAGAUGAGGAGGGCUGCCGGAUUGCUUUGGGCAAAGCCUCUUCGGUCUCAAGAAAAACACACACUCCCUUGUGUUCCAUUGCUGCUGUGGCAAGAUCUGACCCAGAGAACUGCUUUAGUGACCAAGCUAAAAUCGAAGCCAAUAACAAGGAAUAGUAGAGAAACUGUUCACCAGACACCUGUGGAAGAUAGCAAGACCGAUUUUAUUGGAGCUACUGCAGUAGAGGAGAGAGAUUUUAUAUAAAACUGAGCUCUGCUCCAAAUAUAGCAAAGACAACUGGGAAUUUAGAGCUGAUGAGCGGGUGGGGGUGGAGAUCAGUGGCUAGAAAACUAUUAAGAAGAGCCUGAUUAGACAUCUUGCAUGAGGGAUUCUUGCUAAACUGACUUAGCAGGAUUCUUUGCUACCAUUGGGGUCAGCAGGCCAAGGGCAGGGUAGCUGGCCAAGGUUGAGCCCCAGUGGAGAAGAGAGCUCAAGGGGGGCCUGCCUAAGGUUUGGUCCAGGAAAGAGUCUUCAUUGGAGGAUGGUGGUGGGG